AAUGCGAUAAGUAAUGUGAAUUGCAGAAUUCAGUGAAUCAUCGAAUCUUUGAACGCACCUUGCGCCCUUUGGUAUUCUGAAGGGCACGCCUGUUUGAGUGUCGUG
rnacentral:rRNA from 1 species